CUCCGGGUUGAUCCUGCCGGACCCGACUGCUAUCAGAGUGGGACUAAGCCAUGCGAGUCAACAUAGCAAUAUGUGGCAUACGGCUCAGUAACACGUAGUCAACAUGCCCAGGGGACGUGGAUAACCUCGGGAAACUGAGGAUAAACCGCGAUAGGUCAUCACUUCUGGAAUGGGUAAUGACUUAAAUCUAUAUGGCCCCUGGAUUGGACUGCGGCCGAUCAGGCUGUUGGUGAGGUAAUGGCCCACCAAACCUGUAACCGGUACGGGCUCUGAGAGGAGGAGCCCGGAGAUGGGCACUGAGACAAGGGCCCAGGCCCUAUGGGGCGCAGCAGGCGCGAAACCUCUGCAAUAGGCGAAAGCUUGACAGGGUUACUCUGAGUGAUUUCCGUUAAGGAGAUCUUUUGGCACCUCUAAAAAUGGUGCAGAAUAAGGGGUGGGCAAGUCUGGUGUCAGCCGCCGCGGUAAUACCAGCACCCCGAGUGGUCGGGACGUUUAUUGGGCCUAAAGCAUCCGUAGCCGGUUCUACAAGUCUUCCGUUAAAUCCACCUGCUUAACAGAUGGGCUGCGGAAGAUACUAUAGAGCUAGGAGGCGGGAGAGGCAAGCGGUACUCGAUGGGUAGGGGUAAAAUCCGUUGAUCCAUUGAAGACCACCAGUGGCGAAGGCGGCUUGCCAGAACGCGCUCGACGGUGAGGGAUGAAAGCUGGGGGAGCAAACCGGAUUAGAUACCCGGGUAGUCCCAGCUGUAAACGAUGCAGACUCGGUGAUGAGUUGGCUUAUUGCUAACUCAGUGCCGCAGGGAAGCCGUUAAGUUUGCCGCCUGGGGAGUACGGUCGCAAGACUGAAACUUAAAGGAAUUUGGCGGGGGAGCA
rnacentral:rRNA from 1 species